GAAGCUGUAGCUCAGUGUUAGAGCGCGAAACAGUUUCAUCAACCCUUGUCGCCACCCUUUUCAAGGGCGAAUGCAGGUGAGAUUACACCAGGCAGGUUCGACUCCUGCCAGCCCGCCA
rnacentral:tRNA from 1 species